GGUCAGCUGACACAUCCCUGCCAAUCUCCGGCAGACCCUCCCUCCCAGACCCUCCUACUUCCUGGACAGCAUCCAUGUUGAAGGCAGCUUCAACAUGGAUGCUGUCCAGGAGGUGGGAGAGUCUGGGAGGGAGGGUCUGCCGGAGAUUGGCAGGGAUGUGUCAGCUG